rnacentral:rRNA from 1 species
GACGAACGCUGGCGGCGUGCUUAACACAUGCAAGUCGAGCGGAAAGGCCUCUUCGGGGGUACUCGAGCGGACGAACGGGUGAGUAACACGUGAGUAAUCUGCCCUUCACUUUGGGAUAGCUCCCGGAAACGGGGAUUAAUACCGGAUAUGACCACAGUCCGCAUGGUCUUGUGGUGGAAAGUUUUUUCGGUGGGGGAUGUGCUCGCGGCCUAUCAGCUUGUUGGUGGGGUAAUGGCCUACCAGGCUUCGACGGGUAGCCGGCCUGAGAGGGUGACCGGCCACACUGGGACUGAGACACGGCCCAGACUCCUAGGGAGGCAGCAGUGGGGAAUAUUGACAAUGGGCGCAAGCCUGAUCCAGCGAUGCCGCGUGUGUGAAGAA